rnacentral:tRNA from 1 species
GGGAAUGUAGCUUAGUGGUAGAGUGCUUGCCUAGCAUGCAUGAAGCCCUGGGUUCAAUUCCAAGUACCA